UUCGUUUUUGUAAAUGAGCGAGCGACAUCUUGUUUUGAAUUUAAACAAAUUCGCUGUUAAAAUGUGACAACUUGCAAAAUGUAAACAAACGAAAUAAAAUGAUGCCAACUAGCGGUGAAUGGAUUGAUAGUGUCAGUAAUAAUGAUUAGCGACUACAAUGGAUACAUUGCAAUCGUUGCUUUGAGAUUAAUUUAAUAAAAGAACGUCCAUUUCUGUUAUUUGCAUGCAGUCAUGCUUGCGAAAAUUGUUGGCCUGCUCAAUUGGUAACAGAGUCCGUGCCGACAUACAAAUGUCCAAUUUGUGCAAAAAUAGUGCGUAGGAGAAUAAUAAAUACUACUUUGCCACAACAAAUGAAUAUACUUUUCCAUUGAGAGCCCUGGCUAAAGGAUCUGCCCACAAUGCCUAUUUUGGAAUUUCAUGAGAGUCAUUGUGCACACUUCCUUCGCGUCACAAAAUAUAAAAGAAAUGCAAGGAAAAUUAGAAGCAGAGCGCAGUAACGCAUGAACUUCAACAAACAUGCGGUACGAAGGCAGAAAAACAGAAAGACAAAUACAGACGUACUCAAAAAACGAAAUGCCAUUGAAGCUGCAGCGUGUCAAGUGAAAUCACAAAAACCUGGCACUUUUCAACAGAUGGGUCGGAGGCUAGCACCAUAUUGCAGUGUGGUGAUUCAAUAUGUCCACGAUAGUUGCGUCCAAAUCUAAGUAAAACCCAGCAAAGUAGAAAUGCACCUCCUUUUGAAACAUUAGGCAUGCGCAUGCCUAACCCCUCUGCAACAGACGUUAGAUCAUGCGUGCCAUUUGUAAACAUUAAACAUUCAAUUCAAUUUUAUGCUCUUUUUAUAUAUUUU